AUUGACCAGAAAGCUGAAGUGAUUUCAUGCAGGUUUUCUAAAUUAAUGUGACUGAAUUAGGACUCAAAAGUCAGGCUUUCUUAAUUGAAAUUGCAACGCCGCUCAAUCGCUUAUAGAAGUGGACCAAAUGAUGUAAAAGUUCAAGUAGAAGACCAUAAAUGAAGAGAAGGACG
rnacentral:lncRNA from 1 species